rnacentral:rRNA from 1 species
AUUGAACGCUGGCGGCAUGCUUUACACAUGCAAGUCGGACGAGUGGCGAACGGGAGAGUAACAUAACGGAACGUACCGAGUAAUGGGGGAUAACUAAUCGAAAGAUUAGCUAAUACCGCAUAUUAUUAGAGCGGCCGAUAUCUGAUUAGCUGGUUGGUGGGGUAAAGGCCUACCAAGGCGACGAUCCGUAGCGGGUCUGAGAGGAUGAACGGCCACACGGGGACUGGGAACCGGCCAAGACUCCUACGGGAGGCAGCAGUGGGGAAUUUUGGACAAUGGGCGAAAGCCUGAUCCGGCCAUGCCGCGUGUUUGAAGAAGGCCUUCGGGUUGAAAGGGACUUUUGUCAGGGAAGCGGUACCUGAAGAAUAAGCACCGGCUAACUACGUGCCAGCAGCCGCGGUAAUAC